rnacentral:sRNA from 1 species
UGACAAUUGUGGGAGGCGUGCCCGUAA